rnacentral:rRNA from 1 species
CGCCUGUUUAUCAAAAACAUGUCUUUUUGAUAAUUAUUUAAGGUUUGGCCUGCUCCAUGAUUAAUUUAAAUAGCCGCAGUAUUUUGACUGUGCAAAGGUAGCAUAAUCAUUAGUUUUUUAAUUGGAAGCUGGUAUGAAGGGUCGGAUGAGGAAGUGACUGUCUCAUUAUAAAUUUAUUUGAAUUUUAUUUUUAAGUUAAAAAGCUUAAAUUUUAUAAAAAGACGAGAAGACCCUAUAGAGUUUAAUAGGUCUAUGUUUUAAUUAUUAGAGGGUUUUAUUAUAAUUGUUCUAUAACUUAUUUUGUUGGGGUGACAUGAGAAUUGAGGGAACUUCUUUAUAUUUUCACAUGGAUUAAUGAGUGGUUGAUCCUGUAUUUUGGAUUAUAAGAGAAAAUUACCUUAGGGAUAACAGCGUAAUCUUUUUGGAGAGUUCUAAUCGAUAAGAAGGGUUGCGACCUCGAUGUUGGAUUAAAGUUUAAUUUUGGUGCAGAAGCUAGAAUUGUA